rnacentral:rRNA from 1 species
GACGAACGCUGGCGGCGUGCUUAACACAUGCAAGUCGAACGAAGUGGCGAACGGGUGAGUAACGCGUAAUCAACCUGCCCUUCAGAGGGGGACAACAGUUGGAAACGACUGCUAAUACCUCAUACUGAAGGAGGGGAUUGCGUCGGAUUAGCUAGUUGGAGGGGUAACGGCCAACCAAGGCGAUGAUCAGUAGCCGGUCUGGAAGGAUGAACGGCCACAUUGGGACGGGGACACGGCCCAGACUCCUACGGGAGGCGGCAGUGGGGAAUCUAAGGAAAUGGAGGAAAGUGUGAGGGAGCAACGCCGGGUGAGUGAUGACGGCCAUCGGGGUGUAAAGCUCUGUUAAUCGGGAAGCGGUACCGGAAUAGAAAGCAACGGCUAACUACGUGCCAGCCGCCGCGGUAAUAG